rnacentral:tRNA from 1 species
GGAGGUAUGGCUCAAGGGGUAGAGCACGUGUUUAGUAUGUACGAGGUCCUGGGUUCAAUCCCCAGUACCUCCU